UAUAUUUGUAAUUUUUAUACGCCCGUCAAAAUUUUGACGGGACGUAUUAUGGUAUACAAAUGUCCUGUGUCCGUCCGUCCGUCUGUCCGUCUGUCCGUCUGUCCGUCUGUCUGUCCGGCGUAAACAUGUCGCACCGUAACUUGAGAACGACUUAUCUAAAUUUCAUGAAACUUAAUAUAGUUGUUUUUUAUGAUGGUCAAAUGAUCUGUAUACUUUUUGGUGAAAAUAAGAUUUAAACUUUUUGAGUUACGGCACUUUGUAACUAAAACAGGGGUGUGUUUUUUUCACAUGUCGCACCGUAUCUCAAAAACGAUUCUUGAUUAUUGCUUAAAACUUUACACACUUCCUAGUUAUAUUAAUCUUAAUAUCUGUAUACUUUUUGGUGAUGAUUCAAAAUUUCAUUUUUGAGUUAUUGAGUAUUUUGUAAAAAAGGGGGAGGGUUUUUUACAUGUCGCGCCAUAUCUCAAAAACGAUUUAUGAUUAUUGCUUAAAACUUUACACAC
rnacentral:lncRNA from 1 species